rnacentral:lncRNA from 1 species
AUUAUUUUUUAUGCAUUCGUAAGAAAGAUACAGCAAUUUAGAGGUUAGUGAUUGGAAGUAAAAAAAUCUUUGUAUUGUGCUACCUUAAAACGAUAUUAAAAAAUUCUUUUUCACUAACGUUAAGAAAAAUACCAUUGGUAGGAAAAACUCAUACACUUUUGAAAAAAUUGCAUGUGGCGUCAACCAGGCCCCCCCCCCCCCAAAAAAAAAUGACCGUCAGAAAGCUCUUGGAAUAGUUGAUGCCGGCAUGCGUGUUGCUGACAUUGUGGUUCGAUGUAAAGUGCAUAAGGCAACAGUUUAGAGACUAACACAUAUCGACAAAUUGCAACUGCACAGGAUAGGUCAAUAUCUCUUAGACCAAAAAAAAAGCUAUCGUCAAGGGAGGAGCGCUACCUUCGCUUUACGUCAACACGUGACAAGUUUUUUCCGGCCACUAGAGUAGUGCCUUGUCUAAGGGCAGCUGCUGGUGUACCUACCAAUCCUUCAUUCGUGCACUUAGGGUAUGGCUGAGAAAUUGAUUUCGAAUAACACUCAAUUUUGCGUUUUGACCCUCCCGCGC